UGCACAAUUGCAUAUGUCAGAAGACAAGUUUAAGUGAGCUUCACUGUACAUGAAGUAGAAAUCGAUCAACGUUAUUAUUCGAUCAGUUUUAUUAGUAGUUGAGAGAGUUUGCGAUUACAUUCGUCUGCGUUAUAGACUUUCCGGCAUAUUCCACGUAAUAUGCUUUCCGGUAGAGACAAACUUUGUUCAUAUAAUAAUGUACGCAAACUAUAUAAGGGCAGUGCAGAUCAGAUCAGGCACGAUACCUAUUACGGUAUUAGGGUACUGUGGUAUUGUGGUACUACAGUACUACAGUACUUCGAUAGUAUAUCAAGUUUUUAUAUUCGUCGUGAUUGUCGUAGUCAUAGUAAUUGUUUGUCAUAGUCAUUAUAAUAUACUAGUCAGUUAAUCAAGAAUAAACGCGUACCAGUUUAUUACAUCACAUCCGAAGUGUUCCGCGGUGUCCCCACCCGUGCGAAAGCCGUACCAUGGCUUAAUGUUUUCGAAGUGUCCGCAGUGUCCCAAUCUGCACGAAAGCCGUCCCAGGCUUAAGUUGGAAGCCGUCCCAGACUUCAUAUUUCCGUACAAUUUAAACACAACGUAGGGUUCAGAUGAGCCUCAUCAUAAUCGUGUGGUGAGCGCCAUCAUAAAUUUGGUGCCGUGACCAGGAUUCUCCUUGGGAGACGAACGUAGAGUUACCAGAAUUCUCCUUGCGAGACGAACAAUCAGUUACCAGUGUAAUGUAAUGUAUCGGACGCGACGGUUGAAAUGUGAAAAUGCAGUUCAAUUUUCCAUACGGUUUUUCAUUACCGUUCAUAAUAAGAAGAAAUAAGUCCAAUUCCUAAGAAGAAAACGAUAAUCUAUGAUUACCACGUGGAAGGGUACGAUUGCCUGCCCGAAACCGCCAUUGUUAAAGUUUCAGAACGACCUUCACUGUCAUUUGCAUUCUGUUCGCAAUGAAAUGGAAGUAUUCGUAACAGCCGCAGCUGUCUUUGUUUCGAUUAUGCUCACUAUUUGAUGUGCGGCGAAACCCUGUCGAUAAAAACGGUAACCAGAAAGUACUCAAUUCAGUGUAAAGCUAUUCCGCAAAACGAGAAUGCUGUUCAGAAAAUAUGUGUGACAUGUGCCCAAAAUGCCGGUAUGGCAACGUUCCCAUUGUGUCUUGAAAUUCAUCAUCGAAUAAUAAAAUUGCAUGCACUUGUGAAGUUAGAUCCCCACAUAUUUCCGUUGAGUAAUGCCACUCUAACUGUGAUACCUAUCGAAUAUCAAAAUGUGCGCACCUUCACUCACCCAUCAUGAAAUACGAGCAGAAUGCAUCUCCGCCGUCUAUUGUCAUACGUCAUGACCUCACGUAAAGAGCAAAAGCAAACUGUCAAGCUGAUAAUUUUGCAAAAUGUCGGUUGUUAAGUUCUACAGUAUCGGAUCGUUCGUGCUUUGUUUCGUUCAGGCCUGCUGAGGUGUUCCAAUCAUCUGGAUGGUUUUAUAAUCCAUUUUGCGAAAUGUAAAUGACUCAACAGCGGUGCGUGCCAGUAAGUCAUUCGGGCUUGUUUCUACAACAAGCAGCGGCAUUCAUUCACUUCGGGUUGAAUUCAGCACAAUUCAAUCAAGUUCUAUAUUGAACCAUCAGCGUACUCAUCCGAUCAAGUACGAACUCCAAAGGCUCGCGUAGGAGAUGCGUCGCCAGUCAACAAAGUUUAUCAUUGUGUUGAAGCAUUCUUUAUAAUUCGGAGAAACAGUUUCCGGCGGUGUUCCUAUCCGCUAACAAGCCGUCCCAGCUUUUAGUUCGCAAGCCGUCCCAGGCGUAGGUUAAAAGGACGUACCUCACUGUUAGCUAACAAGCCGUCCCAGGUUUUAAUUCACCGUCACCGACGUUCCUCACUGUUAGUUUGCAAGCCGUUCCAGGGUUAAGGGUGAAAGCUGUCCCAGGCCUCAACCAUUACCAGCAAUUCAUCUUCUUUCGUAUCAUCGGAACAAAAGUACACAAAAAUUAUCGUAUGUUAGGAAACAGUUCAGCAAAAGUCGAAGCACUAUUCUCGUCAGAGCAUCAGCAAUGUUUUAUUGGAAAUCCAUAGUCAACUUUCCCGAUCGUCAGCAUCAACUUCAUGUACCAAACAGUUUCGCCAGUUAGAGGAUCAUUACAGCUGCAUAUAAUCACCAUCACGUCAGAGAAGCAGUUUAACCUUAAUCUUCGUCAUCGAUGUCUCCGAUACACUCUCUCACCAGUAUGCUGUACAAUGUCAACAAAAUCAGCGGUUGACAACCACAUGUCAGAAGUGGUUUCGAGGUUCCAGCAACGAAGCAAGCAGGGAUGGUUCAGUUUCUGAUCGAGGUGAUCAGAACUACCAUCCCAACACUAUUCCAAGUUAAGUAUACAAUCUAAAUUGAAAGCAGCAGAAACUGAUCCGUCCUCCCAUACAGGCAACGUUGUAAUAGUCAACAUUACCGCAGAUCAUAAUUCAUCACCACCAAGGGUGAAGCAGAACUACGGAGACGGUUAACAGAAGGAAUUCAACUACCAGAUUUUCAUCAAAGAAAGUGGAUCCAUGUAUCAGUUGUAGUCUACUAGAUCAUCAGCUCACUUGUCCUGCAGCAACAUUCCGUUUCCAUGCAACAACACGCUGUUCGACGAAGUUUAUCCCAGUCAACAACAUUGCUACGGUCUUAGCAAUCAUCGCGGCUCAUCGCAGUGGUGGAACCAGCGGAGUCGCUCGGGUCUUGUCUUAUCGACGCCGGCUGCAUAGCAGUUGACGGAGUCGAAUUCAAGUCUCCCGUCCUCGACGCCCAUGGUUCGCCAAAGGAUCAUCGAGUACCAGCAAGCAGCAUACUAAAAUUAUUGUGAAUAGCAAAUACAGAGAAUUUGUGAUAAAUAGGCUAGUCAGGGAAAUAGAACUCGUACAGUAAUUUUGGAUAUGUAAUAACAGUAGGCAGUUCAGAAAUCGCAUACAGUAUUACACAGCAGUAAUGAGUCUCAAUUGUAUCAUGCUAAGAUAGGUCAGUUCAUUGACAUCAGAUAAAGUUUGUUGAAAGCGUAGUCUUUCAAGGCGGGCGGUAUGUUGAUGCACAAUUGCAUAUGUCAGAAGACAAGUUUAAGUGAGCUUCACUGUACAUGAAGUAGAAAUCGAUCAACGUUAUUAUUCGAUCAGUUUUAUUAGUAGUUGAGAGAGUUUGCGAUUACAUUCGUCUGCGUUAUAGACUUUCCGGCAUAUUCCACGUAAUAUGCUUUCCGGUAGAGACAAACUUUGUUCAUAUAAUAAUGUACGCAAACUAUAUAAGGGCAGUGCAGAUCAGAUCAGGCACGAUACCUAUUACGGUAUUAGGGUACUGUGGUAUUGUGGUACUACAGUACUACAGUACUUCGAUAGUAUAUCAAGUUUUUAUAUUCGUCGUGAUUGUCGUAGUCAUAGUAAUUGUUUGUCAUAGUCAUUAUAAUAUACUAGUCAGUUAAUCAAGAAUAAACGCGUACCAGUUUAUUACAUCACAUCCGAAGUGUUCCGCGGUGUCCCCACCCGUGCGAAAGCCGUACCAUGGCUUAAUGUAUUCGAAGUGUCCGCAGUGUCCCAAUCUGCACGAAAGCCGUCCCAGGCUUAAGUUGGAAGCCGUCCCAGACUUCAUAUUUCCGUACAAUUUAAACACAAC